rnacentral:rRNA from 1 species
GAUGAACGCUGGCGGCAGGCCUAACACAUGCAAGUCGAGCGGAUGAAGGAAGCUCGCGCCUGGAUUAAGUGGCGGACGGGUGAGUAACGCCUAGGAAUCUGCCCGCUAUCGGGGGAUAACGUCCGGAAAAGGGCGCUAAUAACGCAUAAGUUCUGAGCUUGAACGUGGGGGAUCUUCGGAACCCACGCUAUCAGAUGAGCCCAGGGCGGAUUAGCUAGUUGGUGGGGUGAAGGCCUACCAAGGCGACGAUCCGUGACCGGUCUGAGAGGAUGAUCAGUCACACUGGAACUGGGACACGGUCCAGGCUCCUACGGGAGGCAGCAGUGUGGAAUAGUGGACAAUGGGCGAAAGCCUGACCCAGCCAGGCCGCGUGUGUGAAGAAGGUCUUCGGAUUGUAAAGCACUUUUAGUGGGGAGGAAGGGCAGUAAGUUAAUACCUGGCUGUAUUGACGUUACCUACAGAAUAAGCCCCGGCUAACUACGUG